UGUAAAUAACUUAAUAUUUUCAUCUCUAAAAGGAUAUUAACAAAAAAGACUGCAAAUGAUCAAUCUAGAUAUAAAAUCUUAGUUAUUGACAGUUAUGACAUUAAUUCCCAACACAUUUAAAAAUGACAAUAUAUGUAAGAAAAAUAGACAGUGAAGAAAACUUCAAGAAGUAUAACAGGAAUAGAAGGAAAUACGAAGCCUAUAGUUAUUUCAGCUUCUUUCUCAGUAAAAUGCCAGAGGCAAAAUAACUUAAUAUAACACACAGUUCUCUAGAAUCGGUCUCCUUGGUUCAAACCCUGGCUCUACU
rnacentral:lncRNA from 1 species